UAGGGAAUCUUCCGCAAUGGGCGAAAGCCUGACGGAGCAACGCCGCGUGAGUGAUGAAGGUCUUCGUAUCGUAAAACUCUGUUAUUAGGGAAGAACAAAUGUGUAAGUAACUAUGCACAUCUUGACGGUACCUAAUCAGAAAGCCACGGCUAACUACGUGCCAGCAGCCGCGGUAAUACGUAGGUGGCAAGCGUUAUCCGGCAUUAUUGGGCGUAAAGCGCGCGUAGGCGGUUUUUUAAGUCUGGUGUGAAAGCCCACGGCUCAACCGUGGAGGGUCAUUGGAAACUGGAAAACUGGAGUGCAGAAGAGGAAAGUGGAAUUCCAUGUGUAGCGGUGAAAUGCGCAGAGAUAUGGAGGAACACCAGUGGCGAAGGCGACUUUCUGGUCUGUAACUGACGCUGAUGUGCGAAAGCGAGGGGAUCAAACAGG
rnacentral:rRNA from 1 species